UGGGGCGGAGAGCAGAGCCUUGCCGCACAUGAUCAAAGAUAGCCCAGGAACCAGCCUGUUGCCAUUCAAGCCUCUCGGAUCACAUCCAGCCUCAGCGCCACGCAGUGCGGUUAAAGGCGGCCAUCGGCGAGCCACUCCGGGCUCUGCGGAAUCGACCUCCACUCUGUGAAGCCAGCAGCCCUCCCAGACAGCCCUGACGCAUGGUGGUUGCUGGGCUCCCUUGACACUGAUGGUGCUGUGUGUGCUUGGCUAGUCACCCAUGCUGCUGGCUGCCCCUGUGCCCCAAAUCUGCCACAAGGAAGACGGACAAGAUUCUCCCCAGAAGACAGUAUAUGACUUGCCCUUUGUCAGGUUCUGUACCCCAAGCUGCAGCGUUCCAUUGCCGGUUCUCAUGGUGAAGAAAAACAGAGGUGCUGGCUUCCAUUCUGGGACCUCAAGCACCAAGCCCCAGAGUGGAGAGUCAAGGAUGCCCUUUUGCCUCCUGCAUGAAGUGAUAACCAACCAAGAGACCGGCUCCAUCCAGCACCCAACCAAGACUCCCCACGGCUGCACCCCAGGUAUUCGGGACCACUGCACCACUGGCUCAGACGCAACCUCAGACCCAAGAGCUCAACAACAGGAAGCUGGACCCAGACCCAGACCCAGGAGCUCCGCAAGCAGGAAGCCCCGCCCCUAGGCGCACAGCCAGUGGGAAACCCCAGCAAUUCCUGGCGCUCACCACCAGCAGCUCCUGAGAUGUUGAACAUGCUCGUAUCUGUCAAAAACCAUUCAGGAAGAAAAGAGAAAGUCUUUAUACCUUUUAUUCAGCCAAUUUUCCCGGAGGCGCUCUGGGCUCUCUAAGAAAAGAGAAAGAGAAAGCAGAGAAUUACAA